rnacentral:rRNA from 1 species
AACGCUGGCGGUGUGCUUCACACAUGCAAGUCGAACGAGGUAGCAAUACCUAGUGGCGGACGGGUGAGUAACGCGUGGGAAUCUGCCUUUAGAUGGGGGAUAACGGGUCGAAAGACUCGCUAAUACCGCAUAUGACGAAAGUUGAAAGGAGUAAUCCGUCUAAGAUGAGCCCGCGUCCGAUUAGCUAGUUGGUAGAGUAAAAAGCCUACCAAGGCGACGAUCGGUAGCUGGUCUGAGAGGAUGAUCAGCCACAAUGGGACUGAGACACGGCCCAUACUCCUACGGGAGGCAGCAGUGGGAAUUUUACGCAAUGGGCGAAAGCCUGACGUAGCGACACCGCGUGAGCGAAGAAGCCCCUUGGGGUGUAAAGCUCUGUCAGCUGGAACGAAAAAAAUGACGGUACCAGCAGAGGAAGCAUCGGCUAACUACGUG